rnacentral:lncRNA from 1 species
GUGGACACCUUGGCCCUGUGGAUCCUGGCCGUGGAGGGUGGACACAUUCGCCCUGUGGAUCCUGGCCGUGGAGAGAGGAGAGGACACCUUGGCCCUGUGGAUCCUGGCCGUGGAGAGUGGACACCUUGGCCCAGUGGAUCCUGGCUGUGGAGAGAGGACACCUUGGCCCAGUGGAUCCUGGCCAUGGAGAGUGGAGAGGACACCUUGGCCCAGUGGAUCCUGGCUGUGGAGAGAGGACACCUUGGCCCUGUGGAUCCUGGCCGUGGAGGGUGGACACCUUGGCCCUGUGGAUCCUGGCCGUGGAGAGAGGAGAGGACACCUUGGCCAUGUGGAUCCUGGCCGUGGAGAGUGGACACCGUGCAAAUUAGAGUCAUCACAAAGCAACAUCACUAUUGUAUCUAACGGCAAUAUUUUAUCUAUAAGUACAGAGAUUAGCUCGUUGACUUUCCCCCAGAAUUCAAUCACCCUGGGACAUUUCCACAGCACAUGUUGAAAAGUAGCAAGGUCCCCCUGUGGAGUAGAACUAACAUAAAGGUCCCCUGUGCAGCAGAACUAACAUAAAGGUCCCCCUGUGGAGCAGAACUAACAUAAAGGUCCCCCUGUGGAGCAGAACUAACAUAAAGGUCCCCCUGUGCAGCAGAACUAACAUAAAGGUCCCCCUGUGCAGCAGAACUAACAUAAAGGUCCCCCUGUGGAGCAGAACUAACAUAAAGGUCCCACUGUGCAGCAGAACUAACAUAAAGG